CAUAUGCAUGUAAUUGUAAUGGCUGCUGUAGGAGAGAGGAAUAAUGUCGUGGGAGAGACAAAAACUGAGUAAAAAAAACACCCUGAAUAUGUUUAGAACUACAAAUGAACCUUCUUUCAGUGAUUUAUAUUAGACAAAGAAAAUUUUACAUUUACAUCCCGCCCUGACUGUAAACCAGGUCAGGAUCAGAGCGAUAGAUCAGCCAGCGGCGGUUCCGCACAUGCGCGAUUCACUUGCAGUCUGGACGUGGAGGGGUUAACGUCUCCUGCUCUGACUGCUGCUGGGAGGGAGGACUGGGCCGUCUGUGAGUGAUUUGGGGCGAGAGAGGAGCCCAAGGUAGCAUCCGCUGCCCGUUGAGAAGAAUAAGAAUGAUACGUGCUCUCACAGCAGAGUCUCCAGAAGUCUUCAAUAACAUCAGAAAAAGUCGCUAGAUUUGUCGCUAGCCGCUUUUUUGAAAAGAGUCGUUAGAGGAGUUUGAAAAGUCGCUAAAUAUAGCGACAAAGUCACUAAGUUGGCAACACUGGGGACACAGAAGCUACCAGAAUGGAAGAGGAUAACUGUGGCCAGGAGGCAGGACAUGACACAGCAGGAGAGCGAAGAGCUGGAGGAGGAACAGAAACAUGACUCUCCCCAAGGCCGAAGCAAGUCUCAGUCGGCAGGUCCGCAUGUUAAAGUCAAUGGCCGAGCAACCUGGACCAAGGGCAGAAGAGGCUCAGACAGCAGGGGAUUUAAAGCUAUUCAAAGGAGUUCCACUGACAAAUAGUUCAAUGUACAGCAGAGAAACCACCAACAGUUUUUAAUGCCUUGGCUACUAGUAUUGAGAUGAGACUGGGCUGCCUGCCUGGUAAACAGAGGAGCAAGGAAGAAUACCAGAGCUUUCUUAACAACAUCAAAAUGCUGCAGCCAUCUAGCUGGCCAGGUGCAUGUCGGGUCCGUUAUGCUGAAAAGGAAAUACAGGAACUCUGCUCCUUUUUCAACCUUGAUAAUGGCAGACAAAUUCAAAGAGGGAUGAGGGAAUAUUUUGACAUGGUCAGACUCAAAACUGUUGAUGAAAUGAUUUCAGCACUAGAAGAGCUGAAACCCCUCCUGCAAGCAGUGAACACUCUGGUAAUCUCCACAGCAGAGUGUGAGCAUGGGUUUAGUCAGAUGAACAUUUUAACCACAACUAGAAGCUCCCUAGAGGUAAAAAGCAUGUCAGCCUUACUUUUCAUCAAGUGUGUUGGCCCUCCACUGAGAAAGUUUAGACUGAAAGCAAGGGCAAGAAAUAUUGAAAACAGAAAUCAUGACUAUGAAAAUCUCUGGAAACUUUUAUGAGAUAGGGGAGAGUGGGGUAGGCAGCCAUAGAAUUGGUCCUAUGUAUUUUGUAU